CCAGCAGCUGCGGUAAUUCCAGCUCCAAUAGCGUAUACUAAAGUUGCUGCAGUUGAAAAGCUCGUAGUUGAUAAAGAGAGAAAGGUUUGGGAUGAUUAUUUGAUUAUUUUUAAACCUUUCUUUUAAUUAAAAGAAAUGAAAAUUUUAUUUUUCAUUUCUUUUUUGGUACCUUGAAUAAAAAAGAGUGUUUAAAGCAAAUUUAUUUUGGAUUUUAUCCAAUUUAUUUCUUUGAAUUAUUAAGCAUGGAAUAUCUUUAAAAAAGAUUAGAAGGAAAUUUGGUUUUUUUUUCAUUUUUAAUCUGAAUGAUUAAUGGAAUCAGUUGGGGUCAUUAGUAUUUAAUUGUCAGAGGUGAAAUUCUUAGAUUAAUUACAGACUAACUUAUGCGAAAGCAUUUGACAAGGAUGUUUUCAUCAAUCAAG
rnacentral:rRNA from 1 species